rnacentral:rRNA from 1 species
UACAGAGGUGGCAAGCGUUGUUCGGAAUUACUGGGCGUAAAGGGCGCGUAGGCGGCCAUCUAAGUCAGACGUGAAAUCCCCCGGCUUAACCUGGGAACUGCGUCUGAUACUGGAAGGCUUGAGUAUGGGAGAGGGAUGUAGAAUUCCAGGUGUAGCGGUGAAAUGCGUAGAUAUCUGGAGGAAUACCGGUGGCGAAGGCAGCUUGCUGGGCUACUCCUGACACUGAGGUACGAAAGCGUGGGGAGCAAACAGG